UGCUUAAUGUUUUAUUGAAAUUAAGAGUGUGCCCCGAAAUUGUUAGUUUUAAACUUUUACUUUGGGAAAGAUGUGGCUUGUAUAUUUUUUGUUCAAUCUUUAGAGGUGGGAGAUACAAUUUUCGAGGCUGGUUUGUCCCAAAGUGCUGCGAUUUGAACAUUUGGUGUGCCUCAAGACUUUGUCUGACUCCAACUGCGUAUGCUAUACAAAAGCUUGUGAUGACGAUUAUGCAAAGCUUUCUACCUCUUAGGAGAAGGUUCAUUGCGGAAAGGGUUCCUGUCUCUCACACGACUCUCUUAAGCCAUGUUACACAUUUAUGUAGACUUUAUCCCAGCAUACUCCUAUAUUAAGGGGCAUCCCGUGAUAAAUAAUCCUCACUUGAGUUUAAUUUCGUUGCGAUGAGGAGGCAUUUCAAUUUUUUUAAAAGCGAAUUUAUGAAUGGGUUCAUCUUUUCUUUAUGUUUUUGAAUUGUCAUGGCAUUUGGCAUGAUUUGCGUCGCAUACUCUGUAUAAAUGUCGAAACAUGGUAUUUACAUAUAUUUUAA